rnacentral:rRNA from 1 species
AGCGAACGCUGGCGGCGUGCUUAACACAUGCAAGUCGAGUGAAGGAAAUUCCUGUAGCAAUACCGGGGUUUCUAUUCACGGCGCACGGGUGCGUAACACGUGGGUGACCUGCCCUAAGAUGGGGAAUAACCCCGCGAAAGCGGGGCUAAUACCGCAUAAAAUUCCGCGACAUUCGGGUUGCGGAUUCAAAGUCUUCGGACGUCUUUGGAGGGGCCCGCGGCCGAUUAGCUAGUUGGCGAGGUAACGGCNCACCAAGGCAAUGAUCGGUAGCUGGUCUGAGAGGAUGAUCAGCCACACUGGAACUGAGACACGGUCCAGACUCCUACGGGAGCAGCAGUGGGGAAUCUUGCGCAAUGGGCGAAAGCCUGACGCAGCGACGCCGCGGUGGGGGAUGAAGCUUCUCGGAGU